GGAGGGAGGUGGUGGGUCUUCUGGAGGAGCUCUUACACAAGUACUGGGAGAAACAGCUCCCGGAUGGAGCAACACAGAGGAGAACAUUAGAGAGCUCCAGUCAAGAGCCUUCAUCUCAACUCGCUGUUAAAGGACAUCAUCUUCUGUUGUCCAGAGGUUCCAGCAGCAGAACCACACUCCUGUCAACAUGCAGCAAUAAUGUACAGGAGUCAAGUGCUUACAAGAUUAAUUUAAAUGGUGUUAUGACAAUCCAAGCAAAGCCACUGCAACAGAG
rnacentral:lncRNA from 1 species